CCACCAUCAAGUUAAGACCUUUUAUUUAAGGCCACUAUGAAAACAUAACGUGUUUCUGAGUCAAGUCAGAAAGCCUGGCAAUGAUGACUUGCUGUUUUUAAGAUCUUUGUGCUUGUAACUCCAGUUAUUUUUAAUCAUUUAAAGGAAUAUACCUCAGCAUUCUAUCUGGGUGGUCUAGAGAUUGAAGUAAUGUAUUGUAGCAGUCUGGAAUAACUGUUAUCAGGCAAUCAGGGCUUUGCAGACUAUUACAUUCUAAGCAUGUUUUCAUUGCCCUGUGUAAAUAUUUUGAUGAUUGCCUAUGUGCACUAAUAACGUUUUGCAUAACAAAGAAUAACAGGUGCAGUGGAAAGGGAAUCAAGUUCGAGGAUGCAUUUUUAAUAUAUCGUGUGCGUCUUGACUUUUCUAAAUGUAUAGUAAUAAUAAUAGCAGCUAUCGUGGUGUAAUUAGUUGCUAUGGAUAACCUAUGACAAUGAAAACCUUCUUUUGGGGACUUCCCUGGUGGUCCAGUGGUUAAGACUCUGUGCUUCCACUGCAGGGGGCAUGGGUUCCAUCUCUGGUGAUCCCUGGUCAGGGAACUAAGAUCCUGCAUACUGUGCUGCGUGGCUAAAAAAUUAAAAAAAUAAAGAAGAACAAAAGAAACCUUCUUUUGGAGUAAAGUAAGAAAUCUCCCCAGAUGAGUUCAGAAGAUCAUGGAGAGGCACUCUGAUCAAAACCUCUGCUUCCCAGGGGUGCAGCCCUCUUACAGCCUGGGGUGAUCAUUCCCUGGGCUUUGUUGAGCCUGUGUGAUUAAUAGGCAGGAAGAAGUAAGGACAGUGUCAGGAAAACACAAACUCAGGUUUGUCCAUCCAAUGAUCAGAGGCAGUGAUAACAAGCACUUGAGUCCACCACCACCCACGCGGAUGGAGGAGAUGUGAGCACUGGCUAAUUUAGAAAGGAUGAAUAACGCCUGCCGUCAGCCAGGGCCAGAGGACGAGGCAAACUCUUCGUGGGAGGUAGAAUUUUUUUCCUUUUAAUGGAUAUAUUUGGAAAUCUAGUUUAACGUGCACUUGUGCUUAGAAGAAAAACUGUCAAACGGCUUUCCUACUGUGAUCAAGUUUUUUGGAAUUCAAGGAAGGUGAAUUCCCCCUCCCUCCAGAAUUGUCCGACAACAAUUUCCUAUAAGAUAUGUAAACCAAACCCAUAUAUUUCAUGCUAUUUUCAUCAUGUGAAGUCAGCCUGAAAAUAGAAUUUAAAGAAAAAUGAAGACUAAUACAAAAAGGUACAAUCCAAAGUCCUUUUCAGCUGUCUUGGCAUUAAAAUCGUGGGCAGAAAGCAGUGUCUUUGUUGUAAAAUGGAAUAAAAAUUGCUGGAAAAUUAAUACGAUAAUACUUCUGUGAAUAUCUACAGAGAAAAAAAAUCCAAAUUCAUUCAUCCAACAUAAAUUAAAUACAUUGGUUCUCCCUCCCCCAACUUUUGAGGUUACUUUUGGGGAUGUUCAUUUUACAUAGUUUUAUGAACAUGAGAUUAAUGUAGCUUUCUUUCUUUUUUUUUUUUUUUUUUUUUUCUGUACGCGGGCCUCUCACUGUUGUAGCCUCUCCCGUUGCGGAGCACAGGCUCCGGACGCGCAGGCCCAGCGGCCAUGGCUCACGGGCCCAGCUGCUCCGUGGCAUGUGGGAUCUUCCCGGACUGGGGCACGAACCCACGUCCCCUGCAUCGGCAGGCGGACUCUCAACCACUGCACCACCAGGGAAGCCCCUAAUGUAGCUUUCUGAUGAGAUGCAGGCUUAUGGUUCUCUCUCUGUCUCUGUCUCUCCCUCUCUGUCUCUGUCUCUCCCUCUCUGUUUCUCUCACUCUUUCUCUCUCUCUUUCUUGGUAUAAAUCACUUCAUCUCAGUUACCCUAAAUAAGAACUUUUUGAUCUUCUCAAACACUAAUUUUUAAAUCCUAGUCUGAAACCAACUGAAAAGCUGGCACUUUAAAAAUACCUAUCAAUCUAAUCUCUCUCCCUAUAUAAUUCUAGUUCAUCUAUCCUGGAGAGUGCAAGGCAAGUUAUUAAACACGAGUAUUUUAUUCAUUCACUGAAUCCUCUCUUAUAAUAGACAUGAAUGUUCUAUUUCAUGGCUUUCAUUACUAGGUUCAUAGGCUCUUAUAAUUGUUUAAUAAAAUUUUAAAGUGUAACACAGUUUGCUGUAAAAAAAUACCCCAUAUUUCUCCUGACUGUUGGGUUAUGGAUCCUUAGCUCUUAUUUGGACCACUCUCACCCUUCAACAUUCCUGUAUUAAUGGUGAAACAAGAGUAAUGAAAACUCCAACAAGAAGAUAAAAUGGCAAACAGCAUAUCAGUGGCUGACUGAGAACACAGCACUACACAUAGAUUAAGAGUUCAUUACAUAUUGAAUUAAUGGGGACAAGUAUUCAGGGUUUUUGGCUUUCGGUUCUAUGGAGUGUGCACUCAGUUACGCCAAGUUUAGUGAGGCUGAAAGAGAAGUCAGUUUCAGGGGAACUAAAUCGUCUCUGUAAUAAAGAGAGCAGUAGUAUGUACCCGUUUGGCAGGGAAGGUUACUAUUAAUACAUUUCAUGGAUUUAAGAGAAAUCUAUUAAUAAAACACUAUGUUUCAGGCAAGUGAGGGCUUACAAAGUGAGUAUGACAUAGGCAUUUUCCCCAAGCUGUUAACAUCAAAAGAGGGAGACAGACUUCUGAAUAUCUUAUCAUAACACAACAUAAUCCGUGCUACAAUCAAGGUCAAAUUGACGGAUGGAGAGAGAAAAUAAUUCAUCUUAAAUUUAUAAAACUUUUCCAUUUUCAAAAACAAGAUUCCUUCUUAGUCCAGCAUAUGUUAAAUUUUUGGAUAAAGUAUAUUUUUUAAAAUGUUACUUUAAUGCAAUUUUUACUGGUAAGAAAAUAUGGGAAUUCCUUGAAGGCCAGUAAAACAUGUACAGGGGUACAGAAGUUGACUUUUGUGGGGUUAUUGGCAUGAAACUUACAGUUUUUAAACACACAUGGGACAUUUUUGGAAGUCAACUGGAUACAUUUGGCCUUAAAGAUCUCAAUUUUUUUUGAAAGAUUGGUAAUAUACCUAUCACAUUUUCUUACUAUAAUGCAAUAAAAAGAUCACUGAAAAUGUUCUAUACACUCAGAAAUUUUAAAACACACUUCUAAACCAGUCAAGGAAGAAUUAAUUAAUAGAAAUUAGGCAAUUCUUAGAAAUGAAUAAUAAAUAAAAUACUAUAUGUCAAAACUCGUGGGAUGUAGUAAGAUUAUGCUGAGAGAUAAAUUUGUAGCCUUAAAUGCUUAUUUUAACAAAGGAGAAAUGCAAAAAAAAACCCAAAAAACAAAUUGAGCUAAGCAUCCAAUUUAAGAAAUCAGAGGGAAGAACAAACUCACUUAAUAACCCAAAGAAAGUUGAAGAGACAGAAAUAAAUGAAACAGAAAUUAAAGAUACAAAUGAGAAUAUCAAAAAAGUCUGCUUUUAAAAGAGUAAUAAAAAUGGCAACUUCUGUCAGGCUUUGUCAAGGAAAAAAAAGAGAAAAGAACGUUACUAUACACGUAACAUUACACGAUUAGAUAAGUGAGAGAAGACAAGUUUAUGCCCCCAAAUUUAAAAACUUAUAAGAAAUAGAUGUGUUCCUAGGAAAAUAAAAAUGAUCAGAACUGACUCAAAUCAAAUAAAACCUGACAUGUGCUAUCACCAUGAAAGGAAUUGAAUAAAAAUUUAAAAUCUUUCUGUGAGCAAAAUCCUAGGCCCAGAGUAUUUUCAUUGAUGAGUUCAAGGUGUUAGUAAUUCCAAACGUAAACUCUUUCAGAGAAGAGAAAAAGAUGAAGCACUCCUCAACUCAUUUUUUAAGUCCAUUACAACCUUGAUACCAAAAUCAGACAAGAAUGGUAUGAGAAAAGAAACUUGUUAAAAGAAAUUAUUAAACAUAGAGGCAAUAUUCUGAAACAAAAUACCAGCUACCAAAAUGUAGCCAUCGAUUAGAAAAAAGUCACAGCCAAGCUAACAAAUCUGGAGCCAACUUAGUUAGCAGGUUAAGGGGGAGUGGGAGGGGAGAGAGGAACAUGGUUACUUUUACAGCCGUAGAACAAACAUUUGAUAAAAUUACACACCUAAUCAUGAUUUAACAAGUAAGGAAAUGCAGCUUCUGGCAACAGGAAGACCAUCACUACCUUAACUGGAAGAAGUGAAUCUAAAAAAUUGUAUUUCUUUUUCAGAGAUCUGGAAGGUAACUAAAAAUGAGCUUUCUCCCUCUAUAGAAAGAUGAGGAAAGGCUGUUAAUAUUUAAACCAUUUUUUUGCCCCAUUACAUAUAUAAACGUGUGUGUAUGUUUGUACAGAUAUAAAUAUACACAACCACACAGAGAUUUAUUGCAGAGUAGUUAAGAAGGUGAGUUCUGGAGGAAAAUUGCUAAAUUAAAAUCCUAGGAUUGUAUGUUUUGGGGCCAAUUUUCUAACCUCCCUGUGCCUCAGUUUUCUCAUCUGUAAAAUGGGUGAGGAAAACACCUCAUUGGUUUGUUGUGAGAGUUAAAUAAAUAAAUACCUGUGAAGCAUAUAGGAAAAUGCCUGACAGAUUGUAAGCACUCAGUAUAAGUAUUAGUGGCUAUGGUGAUUUUCUUUUUUGGUACUAAAAUGUUUCCUUUAUAUUUUUUCUGUAUUUUCCAAAUUUUCUACAAUAUUUUGCUUUUGUAAAAAGAGCUAUUUUAAACACACACACAGACACACACACCUAUACUGCUCACAUACACCCCCUGCAAAAGCCCUUUGAUCUGAGUUGCCUCAUACGCUUCCCUGGAAGGUUGAGUUGUGGCGAAACAUCACUUCUGAGAGCUCUGCCCUCACCCGUCAGGGCACCUCAAAGUUCACUGUUUCUCCUAAGACAGGAUGGUUGAAGCAUUGCUCUGACCACGUGUUAUCAACCCCGUGACAGUCCACUGUGAGCCCUGGUGACUCCAGAGGCAAAGGAAAGGCUCUUUCUGAUCAUGCUGAGACAAAUAUAAAGCAGAAUCACCCAUGGGACUUCCUAAUCAAGGAUGUUCACACUCUGCCCCUGAAGACUGUGAUUUGGCAGGUUCUCUGCAUUCCCUUUGCCCCACCAGACCUUCACAUGACCUGUCAACUGCUACGUGUAUUAUCACCUCCUCAGACAGCCUUCCCUGCCCACGCUGUUGACACGGGGCUGCCCAGUAGACACAUCAGUUUCAGGUUCCAGCCUGUGUCUGUGUCCUUUGCACAAGGAACAGGUGGCCUUCCACGCUUUCACGAGAUGACAGUCCACGAUAUUUAUGGUGAUUCGUCUCACGCUGUCCAGUGCAUUUUUUAUUGCACCAAAGAUCAACAGGAACUUGAGUUUUAUACACAGAGGUGAAAGAUCUCUCUGACAAGAGCUGGGCACAGUCUCAGCAUUUCCUUUUACCUGGUUGCUUUUUUACUUGUGUUCCUAACAGAUGUCCUGGAUUUAAAUAACUUGAUUAUUUUUCAGUUAAACUUCGCAAUAGUUAAUAUUGUUCCUAUGGUACAGAAUUAAUUUUGAUGAGGUGAUGAUAUCAGGAGGACAUCGAGCUCUUCUUUUAUUGACUCCCUUUUGUAAAGUUCAUAAAAAUGAACUUCGAUUCACCUAUUUACUCUGGGAGUUAAGAAGGAGACACUUACUGAUAUAUUUUGAUAUCUGUAAAAAAUAUAUAGCCUUUCUGAUACUUACAUUUCUGGUUUUCAGGGCUCACAGUGUCAGAAAAUGGAAAUGGUGUGCCUCUAAUGGUUCACUUUCAUUGCCACAUUUGUCCAGUUUAGCCAAACAAACUGUCUACUUCAGGGCCCAUCCUUCAGGGGUAUGUAGGACGUAAUCAUAUUUUCUCUAUCAUAUCCAUGUUUAUAUAUGGAUGUUACAAAACUUACAUUAUUCAGUGUACCAUUCUAUAUCUCACAUUAUUCUCUUAAAUGUAUUACAUAACUAUUUUCCCCAAGUCAAUAAAUAUUUUCCUGAAGCAUAA